UACAGAGGGUGCAAGCGUUGUUCGGAAUUAUUGGGCGUAAAGCGUGCGCAGGCGGUUUUGUAAGUCAGAUGUGAAAUCCCCGGGCUUAACCUGGGAACUGCGUUUGAAACUACAAGGCUAGAGUGUGGCAGAGGGGGGUGGAAUUCCACGUGUAGCAGUGAAAUGCGUAGAGAUGUGGAGGAACACCGAUGGCGAAGGCAGCCCCCUGGGUUAACACUGACGCUCAGGCACGAAAGCGUGGGGAGCAAACAGG
rnacentral:rRNA from 1 species